rnacentral:lncRNA from 1 species
AAAGCAUAACCACCUGCCAAAAGUAGCUGCAGAGUGACAGCUUUCAGGAAGCUCUGUAGGAAGCCAUGCUUCUAAAGAACCACUACUUCUUUGGGUCCUCCACCAGGUGCCUGGUAGUGAGCCUGGAGCCUCUGACUAUAAGCAGGGUUCUCAGUCAGGAAAAAGAGCUGGAUGCAGAGUGGAGGAAAGUGAGGACAAGCUAGAACUGCCAGCACCUCUGUGUCUGUAACUGCAUCUAACCACAGUGAACUUCAAAGGUUAAUAUCUGCUCCAUUGUCAUCUUCCAAGUCUUUCAUAAAUUUCUCUUUUGGCCAGUUCUAACUCAACCAUAGAGAGCAGGGGAUUCUGGAAGCGUAGUUGACACAGUACCAACGACCAGUCUACUCUUGGGCAACUUGGCAUCCAUACUCUCUUUAACCAUCUUUUUAAAUCCUCCAAAUAAAGACAAUCUCUAAAUGCUUCCACCAAGCAUGAUGCAUGCUAACCCUGUCUUCCAAAAAAGAUAUGAAUACCUUUGUGGUCUUUCUCCCAAAAAUCCAUAACCUCAAUCUAGCAAAUCAUAAUUGAGGGCCAUUCUACAAAAUUCCUGAUUAUACUUCUCAAAACCAUCAAGGCCAUCAAAACCAAGGAGAGACUAUCACAGCCAAGAGGAACCUAAGGAGACUUGUCAUAAAUAAAUGUAAUGUGGUGUCCUAGAUGCAAUUCUGGAACAGAAAAAGGACAUUAGAUAAAAACUAAGGAAAUCUGUAAGUAUGGGCUUUAGUGAAUGAUAAUAUAUCAAAAUUGAUUAAUUAAUAGAUUCAAAUAUAUCAUACUAAUAUAAAAUAAUAAUAGGAGAAACCGGGUAUGGGGUAUAUGGAAACUUUGUAUUAUCUGUACAAUUCUUUUACUAUAAAAUCAUUCUAAAAAGUUUAUCUUAAAAAGAGUCCCAUAAGACACAUCCAAAUGGGGCGAUGUUUGUUCUUUUCUAUGAGUUCUAUUCCCCCUUUGAUAUCCUGUAACUGAAAUACUGAUAUAUAUGACCAACCACUAUUAAUUCCUGAAAAUAGGGGGAGUUAAGAGGGGGUAAAAUAGAGAAUUGUUUAAUAUCAAACAAAUAUGCCAUAUUCACAUUGAAGUAAGGAAAAAUACUCAUAAGCACUCCUGUCGUCAUUUCUGUAAUGAGUCCAGUGGUCACAGGUGUAUUUAUAACUUCCUUAGCCCACUAGCCAGUUCAUAUUCCCUGAGACCUCAGUAAACACCUCAACUAGUUUGGUUCCUUGCCUGAUGGGGUGAUCCUGCUUCUUGCUGUUUCAGCUAUCUUUUGCUGUGUAACAAAUCACCCCAAAACUUAGUGGCUUAAAACAGCAACGAUUUAUUAUUCCACAUGAUUCUGGGUAGACCAGAAGAAUCAUAAAGGUUUUGCUCAUCCCUGUGGUGAUUUGGAGACUCAGAGCUCCAUAUGAGCUCUCCUUUUGCUUCUCACAAAUUUAGGCUUCCUCAUAGCAUGAUAAUUUCAGAGUGGUUGGAUUCAAAAGACAACUGACUUCAUACAGAUGGCCAACAGGCACAUGAAAAGAUGCUCGGCAUUGCUAAUUAUUAGAGAAAUGUGAAUCACAACCACAACGAGACAUCACCUCAUACCAGUCGGAAUGGCCAUCAUCAAAAAGUCUACAAAUAAUAAAUGCUGGAGAGAGGAUGCAGAGAAAAAGGGAACCUUCCUACACUAUUGGUGGGAAUGGAACUUGGUACAGCCACUAUGGAAAAAAAACCUAAAAAUAGAACUACCACAUGAUCUAGCAAUUCUAGUCCUAGGUAUAUAUCCAGGAAAAAACAAAAGCACGAAGAUACAUGCACCCCAGUGUUCAUAGCAGCACUGUAUACAAUUGCCAAGACAUGGAAGCAACACAAGUGCAAGACAUGGAAGCAACAGAUGAAUGGAUAAAGAAGAUGUGGUACAUAUAUACAAUGGAAUACUACUCACCCAUCAAAAAGGAAUGAAAUAUUGCCAUUUGCAACAAUAUGAAUGGACCUAAAGAUUAUCAUACUAAGUGAAGUAAGUCAGACAUAGAAAGACAAAUAUAUGAUAGCACUUAUAUGUGGAAUCUAAAAAAUAAUGCAAAUGAACUUAUUUACAAAAUAGAAACAGACUCACAUACAUAGAAAAGAAACUUAUGGUUAUCAAAGGGGAAAAGGGAGGGAGGAGAUGGGUAAAUUAGGAAGGAGAUCAGGAUUAACAUUUAAACUACUCUACAUAAAAGAGAUAAGCAACAAGGAUUUUGUGUUUAGUACAAGGAACCCUAUUCAGAAUCUUGUAAUCACCUAUAAUGGAAAACAAUCUGAAAUACAUACUAUAUAACUGAAUCACUUUGCUAUAUACCUGAAACUAACACAAUUUUGUAAAUCGACUACAAUAUUAAAAAAAAAAUGUUUUCUGUCUUUUUAGGGCACCCGUGUCAUAUGGGGGUUCCCAGGCUAGGGGCCAAAUCAGAUCUGUAUCUUCUGGCCUACACCAUAGUCACAGCAAUGUCAGAUCCAAGCCAAGUCUGCGACCUAUACCAAGGUUCACAGCAACGCCGGAUCCUUAACAAAUUGAGUGAGGCCAGGGAUUAAACCUGCAUCCUCAUGGAUGCUAGUCAGAUUCAUUUCCCCUGAGCCACGAUGGGAACUCCAAACUACAAUAAAAAUUUUUGAAAGGCAACUGGCUUCCAAAGGAGAUAAACGAAAACUACCAAUCCUCUUAAGGUGUAGCUCUGAGGUUCCAAAGCAUCGCCUCUGCUAUAUUUUGCAGUCCAAGCUGGUCACAAGACCAGUCCAGGUUAAAGGAGAAAGGAAAUAAAAGAGACUCCACCUCUUGAUAAGACAAAACAGCAAAGGAUUUGUGUAAUCUGCUAAACUGGUUGUGGGCAUCUCUGUUUAUUUCAUUUCCUUUAAGCCAACUUCUUAGAAUUGGAAUUGCUUCAUGGAAGGUAUUCCUCAUUUUAAAAGCUCAGCACUUGGAGUUCCUAUUGUGGUUCAGUGGGUUAAGAACCUGACAUAGUGUCCCUGAGGAUGUGGGUUUGAUCCCUUGCCUCGCUCAGUGGGUUAAGGAUCUGACAUUGCUGCAAGCUGCAGCAUAGGUCACAGAUGCGGUUUUUAUCCCUGGUUGCUGUGGCACAGGCCAGCAGCUGCAGCUCCAACUCAACCCCUGGCC